rnacentral:rRNA from 1 species
GGAGUUUGGACCGUGUCUCAGUUCCAAUGUGGGGGACCUUCCUCUCAGAACCCCUACUGAUCGUGGGCUUGGUGGGCCGUUACCCCGCCAACAACCUAAUCAGACGCAUCCCCAUCCUAUACCGGUAAACCUUUGCUUCAUUUCAGAUGUCUUCUACGAAGAACAUAGAGUAUUAAUCCGACUUUCGCCGGGCUAUCCUCUAGUAUAGGGAAGGUUGGAUACGCGUUACUCACCCGUGCGCCGGUCGCCAUCAUCAAAAGCAAGCUUUCGAUAUGCUGCCCCUCGACUUGCAUGUGUUAAGCCUGUAGCUAGCGUUCAUC